rnacentral:tRNA from 1 species
UGGUAGAUAGCUUAAAUUAAAGCAUAGCACUGAAGUUGCUAGUAUAGGUUUAUCCUUCUGCCAG